rnacentral:hammerhead_ribozyme from 1 species
AUUCAGCUGACGAGUCUCAAAUAGGACGAAAUGUCACACUUCCUGGAU